rnacentral:rRNA from 1 species
GCAUGCUACCAUGCAGUCGAACGCUGAACCUGGUGCUUGCACCGGGUGGAUGAUGGCGAACGGGUGAGUAACACGUGAGUAACCUGCCCCCGACUUCGGGAUAAGCCCGGGAAACUGGGUCUAAUACCGGAUAUGACCCUCUAUCGCAUGAUUGUUGGUGGAAAGUUUUUUCGGUUGGGGAUGGGCUCGCGGCCUAUCAGUUUGUUGGUGAGGUAAUGGCUCACCAAGACGACGACGGGUAGCCGGCCUGAGAGGGCGACCGGCCACACUGGGACUGAGACACGGCCCAAACUCCUACGGGAGGCAGCAGUGGGGAAUAUUGCACAAUGGGGGAAACCCUGAUGCACCGACGCACCGUGCGGGAUGACGGCCUUCGGGUUGUAAACCGCUUUCAGCAGGGAAGAAGCCUUUAUCGGUGACGGUACCUGCAGAAGAAGUACCGGCUAACUACGUGCCAGCAGCCGCGGUAAUACGUAGGGUACAAGCGUUGUCCGGAAUUAUUGGGCGUAAAGAGCUCGUAGGUGGUUGGUCACUUCUGCUGUGGAAA